UGCCCUCAUUUUUCUUUCCUCCUCCAGCCACUGCAAUGGUUGCAAAGUACUGGAUGACACGCUUGGUGUUCACAGUCUUCCCAGCACCAGAUUCUCCACUGGGAAUAAACAGAUGGAAAAGAUGGAGUGUUGUUACAUGUUCCUGUAGCUGAAAGAACACCUUUUAGGUACAUCUCAUCCUUUUCUGUCACAAAGAAGGCUGUUUUGGCAUCAAACGGUGCGUUCUGGGCCUCAACUCGCUCCCUCUCUCUCUUGCGGAGGUAGACGGCCGCCGGACCAAAGCACUCCAUCUCUGCAUCCCCCAUGUUGGCACUUCACUGUCGGAUAGAAGUUCCAAGCCAAGCUCAAGCCAUUUGAGACAUGUGCAUAACUGGACUUCAUUGAAGAAUGGCCAAAUCAAGUAGUGAUGCUGAGAGCAACAUAAGUGAAGUGUGUGCUUGUAUCAGCUAGACCAAAGCCAAAAUGGCAUUUGAGAUGAAGCACAAAAAAAUGAUGAUGCUGAUGGUCUGCACUCUUAUCUGGGCAUUUACCAACUAUGAGGAGGUUACCUAGUAGACCAAGAUGCAGAGGAGGUCCGAGAAUAAACCUUGACUUGAAGAGCACCUAAGCACUCUACAGUGAAAGGGGAACCUAACUAUCCACCAUCAAUGUGUAGCACCUGGGAGCGCUCGUCACACACCAGCGUGAGGUGGAGAGUGACGGAAUGAGCCAAUGAGCCACUUCCACGGGGCGAUGACUUGAGGGGCAGACUGAAUGAGAGGAAGUUUGGGACUUCAGCCAGGACACCCGGGGAACUCCCAAGACCGACUCUAUGAGCGCCAUGGGAUCUUUAAUGACUAUGGGUUUCCUUAUAGUUCUGGACGACGUCUGUGGGCAAGAAGGCUCACAGGCCAUGUCGGGUCUGCUCUUGUGCAACGGGUCUUGUCUGGCCUUGGCCAGGAUAAUAAUAGGCUCCCGGCCCUUACACUGCGGACGAAGGCUCUCAGUGAGACACAUCUGUCAGGAUGGGAUCACAGGACAAUCUCCAGAGAGGCCAAGGACUGGCCCAAGUAUCUUUACAAUGCAGCCAUGAAUCUAUCUUAAAGGACAGAUAUUUCUGGAAAAAGAUUCCUUGUAAUUGAUACAGGUUGAACAAUGCAGGGUGGUCUUGCAGGCCAUAUAUGGUCUCUGUUCACAUUUUAUUAGUCUUUUCUAAUGAUUUUCAAUUGUGUGACUGUAGUAAGAACAAAUUGAAAACAUUCAUUAUCAAAACA